AGAGUUUGAUCAUGGCUCAGAACGAACGCUGGCGGCGUGCUUAACACAUGCAAGUCGAGUGCGCGUCCGUAGCAAUACGGAUGGCGCACGGCGCACGGGUGCGUAACACGUGGGUAACCUGCCCUUUGGUGGGGAAUAACUCCGCGAAAGCGGAGCUAAUUCCGCAUAAGAUCCGCAAGGAUGAAAGCCGCAAGGCGCCGAUGGAGGGGCCCGCGCCCGAUUAGCUUGUUGGUAGGGUAACGGCCUACCAAGGCUAUGAUCGGUAGCUGGUCUGAGAGGAUGGCCAGCCACACUGGAGCUGAGACACGGUCCAGACUCCUACGGGAGGCAGCAGUGGGGAAUCUUGCACAAUGGGCGAAAGCCUGAUGCAGCGACGCCGCGUGGGGGAUGAAGCUUCUCGGAGUGUAAACCCCUUUUCGAUCCGGACGAAACCCCGCAAGGGAUUGACGGUACGGAUAUAAGAAGCCCCGGCUAACUACGUGCCAGCAGCCGCGGUAAGACGUAGGGGGCCAGCGUUGUUCGGAAUUACUGGGUGUAAAGGGUUCGUAGGCGGUGCGGCAAGUUGGGAGUGAAAUCUCUGGGCUUAACCCAGAGGCUGCUUCCAAAACUGCUGUGCUUGAGUGUGGGAGAGGCGCGUGGAAUUGCAGGUGUAGCGGUGAAAUGCGUAGAUAUCUGCAGGAACACCCGUGGCGAAAGCGGCGCGCUGGACCACUACUGACGCUGAGGAACGAAAGCUAGGGGAGCAAACAGGAUUAGAUACCCUAGUAGUCC
rnacentral:rRNA from 1 species